UAGGGUUGUAGGACACUCUUUUGUGAGUUACAAAGAAAGGCUUUAGAUGAAUCGAUCUGGAACGAUCAGCCAAAGAGGGUAAGAGCCCUGUAAUCGAAAAAGUCUUUUCUCCAGAGUGGAUCCUGAGUACGAUGGAACACGAGAAAUUCCGUCGGAAUCCGGGAGGACCAUCUCCCAAGGCUAAAUACUCCCUAGUUACCGAUAGUGAACCAGUACCG
rnacentral:rRNA from 1 species